GAUGAACGCUGGCGGCGUGCCUAAUACAUGCAAGUCGAGCGAACAGACGAGGAGCUUGCUCCUCUGACGUUAGCGGCGGACGGGUGAGUAACACGUGGAUAACCUACCUAUAAGACUGGGAUAACUUCGGGAAACCGGAGCUAAUACCGGAUAAUAUAUUGAACCGCAUGGUUCAAUAGUGAAAGGCGGUUUUGCUGUCACUUAUCGAUGGAUCCGCGCCGCAUUAGCUAGUUGGUAAGGUAACGGCUUACCAAGGGGACGAUGCGUAGCCGACGUGCGAGAGUGAUCGGCCACACUGGAACUGAGACACGGUCCAGGCGCCUACGAGAGGCAGCAGUAGGGAAUCUUCCGCAAUAGGCGAAAACCUGACAGAGCAACGCCACGUGAGUGAUGAAGGUCUUCGGAUCGUAAAACUCUGUUAUUAGGGAAAAACAAAUGUGUAAGUAGCUAUGCACGUCUUGACGGUACCUAAUCAGAAAGCCACGGCUAACUACGUG
rnacentral:rRNA from 1 species